rnacentral:misc_RNA from 1 species
AAGUCGUAACAAGGUUUCCGUAGGGUACGUUUAACAAUCCUUUCCCCCUUAAAACCCUUUGUGACAUUUGCUAACAUAAUUUCUAGUGAACCUGCGGAAGGAUCAUUACCGAGUAAGGGUCUUCUAGGCCCGACCUCCAACCCUUUGUUUAACCAACCUCGUUGCUUUGGCGGGCCCGCCCUAUGGGGCCGCCGGGGGCCCCACCGCCCCUGGCCCGUGCCCGCCGGUAGCCAUCUUAAAUUCUGAUAACUGUGCCGUCUGAGUAUAGAUAUAAAUCGUUAAAAACUUUCAACAACGGAU